GAUGAACGCUAGCUACAGGCUUAACACAUGCAAGUCGAGGGGCAGCAUUUUAGUUUGCUUGCAAACUGAAGAUGGCGACCGGCGCACGGGUGAGUAACACGUAUCCAACCUGCCGAUAACUCCGGAAUAGCCUUUCGAAAGAAAGAUUAAUACCGGAUAGUAUACGAAUAUCGCAUGGUAUUUUUAUUAAAGAAUUUCGGUUAUCGAUGGGGAUGCGUUCCAUUAGUUUGUUGGCGGGGUAACGGCCCACCAAGACUACGAUGGAUAGGGGUUCUGAGAGGAAGGUCCCCCACAUUGGAACUGAGACACGGUCCAAACUCCUACGGGAGGCAGCAGUGAGGAAUAUUGGUCAAUGGGCGAGAGCCUGAACCAGCCAAGUAGCGUGAAGGAUGAAGGCUCUAUGGGUCGUAAACUUCUUUUAUAUGGGAAUAAAGUUUUCCACGUGUGGAAUUUUGUAUGUACCAUAUGAAUAAGGAUCGGCUAACUCCGUGCCAGCAGCCGCGGUAAUACGGAGGAUCCGAGCGUUAUCCGGAUUUAUUGGGUUUAAAGGGAGCGUAGGUGGAUUGUUAAGUCAGUUGUGAAAGUUUGCGGCUCAACCGUAAAAUUGCAGUUGAAACUGGCAGUCUUGAGUACAGUAGAGGUGGGCGGAAUUCGUGGUGUAGCGGUGAAAUGCUUAGAUAUCACGAAGAACUCCGAUUGCGAAGGCAGCUCACUAGACUGUCACUGACACUGAUGCUCGAAAGUGUGGGUAUCAAACAGGAUUAGAUACCCUGGUAGUCCACACAGUAAACGAUGAAUACUCGCUGUUUGCGAUAUACAGUAAGCGGCCCAGCGAAAGCAUUAAGUAUUCCCCCCUGGGGAGUACGCCGGCAACGGGCAAACUCAAAGGAAUUGACGGGGGUCCGCACAAGCGGAGGAACAUGUGGUUUAAUUCGAUGAUUCGCGAGGAACCUUACCCGGGCUUAAAUUGCAACAGAAUAUAUUGGAAACAGUAUAGCCGUAAGGCUGUUGUGAAGGUGAUGCAUGGUUGUCGUCAGCUCGUGCCGUGAGGUGUCGGCUUAAGUGCCAUAACGAGCGCAACCCUUAUCUUUAGUUACUAACAGGUGAUGCUGAGGACUCUAGAGAGACUGCCGUCGUAAGAUGUGAGGAAGGUGGGGAUGUCGUCAAAUCAGCACGGCCCUUACGUCCGGGGCUACACACGUGUUACAAUGGGGGGUACAGAAGGCGGCUACCUGGUGACAGGAUGCUAAUCCCAAAAACCUCUCUCAGUUCGGAUCGAAGUCUGCAACCCGACUUCGUGAAGCUGGAUUCGCUAGUAAUCGCGCAUCAGCCAUGGCGCGGUGAAUACGUUCCCGGGCCUUGUACACACCGCCCGUCAAGCCAUGAAAGCCGGGGGUACCUGAAGUACGUAACCGCAAGGAGCGUCCUAGGGUAAAACUGG
rnacentral:rRNA from 1 species